AUCCAGCUAAUGAGUUCCAAAUAGGACGAAACGAGCGUCAAACUGGAU
rfam:Schistosoma rodhaini strain Burundi genome assembly, scaffold: SROB_scaffold0000055